CUAAAACUGCCUGAACGUGAGGGAGCUUUUUUCUCAACAACACCGCAUAUAAGCUGCUCAUAAGCAACGACGUGGCAAUGAAAACAAGUGGGGAAAGGUGGCAUUUGAAGCAUAAAGUUUCCAAAGUGUACAAACUGGAUUUUCUUUCUAGCGUCGUCUUCAGCGAGGGAGAGAUGAGUCAGCUAGCAAGGACUGCACACCUGCUAAUUAGCAGUGAACCAUUGGCUGGUAGAGCUGCUGCUGGCAUUCCUAGAGGGUACUGGAGCUUCUCCUGGGUAGCCGAGGAUGACCUGAGCUUUCCCAACGACUCCAUACCCAUGUCAGGUCAGUUCCUCUGGGUGAACAGCUCAGCCUUUGGCGGCCCCUGGGUGCUGAGUCCUUGGCUGUGGGGGGGCCAGGGUCUCUGUGGCCUAGACAUGGCUGUGUUCCUCCACCCCAAGCAAAGUGGGCAGUACACCAUAUGGCUCAUAGAGCGGGACAAACCGCCACUUGCCCUCUUCUCAACUGACACACUGCCACGCAUCACAGGCUGGGCAGUGGUCCACCUCACCCUGGGGACCCACGGAGGAUCACCUUUUCGGGUCUCGGCCAGCUAUGAUCAGCGGAUUCCACAGGAUGACAUGGCCACCAUCGAGCCCCACUUCACCACUAACUGCACCAUGGGUAAGUUUUCACAUCCAUGUCAUUCGUUUCAGAAAUUAUGAUGCUGCUUUUUUGUGUGAGCACUAUUGAUGAUUU
rnacentral:lncRNA from 1 species